CGUACACUCUACGGGAGGCAGCAGUGGGGAAUUUUGGACAAUGGGCGAAAGCCUGAUCCAGCCAUGCCGCGUGCAGGAUGAAGGCCUUCGGGUUGUAAACUGCUUUUGUACGGAACGAAACGGCCUUUUCUAAUAAAGAGGGCUAAUGACGGUACCGUAAGAAUAAGCACCGGCUAACUACGUGCCAGCAGCCGCGGUAAUACGUAGGGUGCAAGCGUUAAUCGGAAUUACUGGGCGUAAAGCGUGCGCAGGCGGUUAUGUAAGACAGUUGUGAAAUCCCCGGGCUCAACCUGGGAACUGCAUCUGUGACUGCAUAGCUAGAGUACGGUAGAGGGGGAUGGAAUUCCGCGUGUAGCAGUGAAAUGCGUAGAUAUGCGGAGGAACACCGAUGGCGAAGGCAAUCCCCUGGACCUGUACUGACGCUCAUGCACGAAAGCGUGGGGAGCAAACAGGAUUAGAAACCCGGGUAGUCCCA
rnacentral:rRNA from 1 species